rnacentral:tRNA from 1 species
GAGGCCUUAGCUUAUUUAAAGUGUCUGAGUUGCAUUCAGGAGAUGUANUANUAAAUUACAGGUCUU